AACGCACCUUGCGCUCUAUGGCAAUCCGUAGAGCAUGCCUGUUUGAGUGCCAUGAAAUCUCCCACCCCAAGCGGUUUUUAAAUGAAACGGCUUGGCGGAUGGGGUCUGGAUGGGUGCCUCUGCCUGCGCUACCUAGCACAGGCUCGCCCGAAAUGCAUGAGUGCCUUGAGACACUUUGCAUCCGCCUCUCUGUUUGGGAGGAGGCGGCCAAGCAGUGUUUUUCUCCUGGCAUGGCAUGAUACGUCAUUUGCUAUGUCACCUAAAGGAGGAAUGUUUGGUUGUGUCUGCGUGUGCUUCAAACUUGCCUCUGUGGCACAUCCCAAUUUCACUUCUGGUCUCAAAUCAGGUAGGAUCACCCGCUGAACUUAA
rnacentral:misc_RNA from 1 species